rnacentral:lncRNA from 1 species
AAAAUAUCUGUCCAAAUCAUGUGUCUAUUUUUAAAUUGGGUUUUCUUGCUAUUGAAUUGUUUGUGUUCCUUAUAUAUUUUGCAUAUUAACCCCUAUGAGAUGUAUGGUUUGCAGAUUUGUUUUCCUGACCUGGAAGUUGUCUCUUCAUUUUGUUAAUUGUUCCUUUGCUGGGCAUAAGGUUUUUAAUUUGAUGACAUUCUACUUGUCUAUUUUUACUUUUGUUGUCUGUGUUUUUGGGGUCUUAUUAAAAAAAUCAUUGUCUAUGCCAAUGUUGUGGAGCUUUUCCUCUAGUAGUUUUAUAGUUUCAGAUUUUAUGUUGAAGUUUUUAAUCCAUUUUGAGUUGAUUUUUGUAUAUUGGGUGAGAUAAAGAUCUAAUUUCAUUCUGCAUGUUGAUAACCAGUUUUCCCAAAACCAUUUAUUGAAGAUACUGUCUUUUUCCCAUUGUGUUCUCUCGGCACCUUUGUCCAAAAUCAAUUGAUUGUAAAUGUGUGAGUUUAUUUAUGAACUUUUAAUUCUGCUCCAUUGGCUGAUGUAUCUGUUUUUAUGCCAGUAUUAUGCUGUUUUGAUUAUAAUCACUUUAUAAUAUAUUUUGAAGUCAGGGAUGUAAUGCCUCCAGCUUUGUUCUUUUUGUUUAAGAUUUUUUGUAUGUGGCUAUUCAGUGUCUUUUGUGGUUCUAUAUGGAUUUAAGGAUUUCCCCCCCUAUUUCUAUGCAAAAUGACAUUGGAAUUUUAAUAGGAAUUGAAUUGAACCUGUAAAUGGGUUUAGGUAGCAUAGACACUUUAACAAUUUUAGUUCUUUCAACCCAUGAACACAGGGUAUAUUUCCAUUUAUUUGUGUUUUCUUCAAUUUCUUUCACUAGUGUUUUAUAGUUUUCAGCAUACAGGUCUUUCACCAUCUAGGUUAAAUUUAGACAAUAUUUUUGGUGCUAUUGUAAAUGGGCUUAUUUUCUUCAUUUCAAGUUAAUUACCUAUUAGGAUAUAGAGUCACUACUGAAUUUUUUUUGAUGAUUUUCUAUCCAGCAAUUUUACUGAAGUCAUUUAUCAGUUCUAACAGUUUUUUUUUUUUGUGUGAGGUAGUUUGGAUUUUCUGUAUAUAAAAUCGUGUCAUCAGCAAAUAGAGACAAUCUCACCUCUUCUUUUUUCUAUAAAGAUGCCUUUUAUUUCUUCUUGUUCUUCUAGGAUAAGUCUACUUUUCUUCCACGUAACAACCACAGGAUAGAUGACAUUCAUUUUCUAAGAAACAAAAUCUUGGCAGUUAGAUCCGUGGGGUAAAGAAUAUAGAUACUAAUCCUGAGAGAAUAUGGAAGACACUGUCAGUGUUGGAAGAUGGUGGUUUUAUCACUUUUCAUUGCACUGUCUUUAAAACAUGGGCAAAUUGACUAAAAGAAGACUACAGAAGAAAUAAUGGUGAUUGUGAAUUUGAAUGAAAACCAUGUAGCUGGUCUUAUUAUUCUCUAAUCAUGAAGACCAUUAUUGUUAUUUGUGGACUAAGGAGCAGAAAGACUGAUAGUGGACAUAGGCCAGCUGAUUUAAUAAUUUAAGAAAGAACUGUUAUCCUGAGUAAGGAGCAUAGAGACAAAUAUAAAAUGAACGCACUCUACCUGAUUUAAUUAUAGUCUUCUGGUGAAGAUCUUGCUGUUAUCUCUGUGAAUCAGGAGAGAAGAGAUUGAUAAGGAAUAGACGAGAUUGGAUUUGGUCAUUUCCCCAAGGUGAAGAGCAUGGCGAUUUCUUCUGUGGUAAGGAGCAAUAAUGAAGACCAUGGUUGAUUUAAUCAGUCUCUGCUGAUGAAGAUCUUGGCUGUUACCUUUGUGUAAUGAAUGCGCAAUGAUUCAAUUAUUCUCCAGCGAGGAAGAUCAUGGUUGUUGUCUGUUUGAGUAAUGAGUGUAGAAACCUAUAAUGGAGGCGUGAUGGCUGAUGCAAUCAUUUUCCACUGAUGAAGGUUUUGAUGGCCACCUGUAAUGAACAGCCCCAUCUGAUUUAAUCACUGUGCAAUGACCGUGAACUGUACAGUUACCUCCGUGUGUCACAGGAAGACUCUUUUGACUUAAGCACCCUUCCAUGGUCAUGAGGUUUCUGGUUGCCUCUGUGUGUUAGAAGCUUGGAGACCAAUGCCUUCUGCUGUGAUCGCGUUCUCCACAGUUGCCUCUGGGUAGGAGCCUGGACACUAAUAGAAAAUGGAUGCACUUGAGCCGACCUAAGCAUUCAUGGUCAUGAGAUUUGUGGUUGCCACUGUUGGUUAGGAGCAUAGAGAUCAGUAAUGGACACACCUGGGCUGGCAGAACAUCUUGCCUUGAUCUGGAGCCCCAUGUCUGCCCCUCUGUAGAGGUGCACAUGGGCCAAUGAUGGAUGCAAUGAGCUGAUCAUUUUGCUGUGAUCAAGGCUAUGUUGCCUCUGUGUUAGGCCAAUGGUUGAUGUUCAUGGGUGAUUGAUCAUCCUGUAGCGACGGUGGUAUUGACUGUUCCCCAGAGGACAAGGAGUGUGUUCUUAUAAUGGACAUCAUGAUUGGGAUUGUCUUUAUUAAACUUUGUCAGGAGAGUAAAGAUCAAUGUGGCCACAUGUUGUGGCUCAUGCCUGUAAUCCCAACACUGUAAUCCCAGCACUGUAAUCCCAGCCUGUAAUCCCAGGCUGAGGUGGGCGGAUCACCUGAGGUUGGGAGUUCGAGACCAGCCUGACCAACAUGGAGAAACCCCGUCUCUACUAAAAAUACAAAAUUAGCCGGGCAUGGUGGCGCAUGUCUUUAAUUCCAGCUACUCAGGAGGCUGAGGCAGGAGAAACGCUUGAACCCGAGAGGCGGAGGUUGCAGUGAGCUGAGAUUGCGCCAUUGCACUCCAGCCUGGGCAACAAGAGUGAAACUCCAUCUCAAAAGAAAAAAAAAAGAAAACAAAACAAAAAAAGAAAAAACCAAUGUUCCAAUAGUUUCCCAAAUCAUGCUGAUGCUGCCUCCUGAGAAAUAUUUUCAGAAUCACUGAGAAAAAUGUAUGAAAUAGUUAAUGUCCUUGCUCUGUGUCAGUGGUGGAGGCUGUCUGCAGUAGGAGCAUGGAGACCAACAAUGGAUGCUCUUAAACUGAUUUAAGCACGCUUCCAUGGUCAGAAGCCUUAUGGUUGCCACAGGGUAUUAGGAGCAUGGAGACCAAUAAUGGAUGUCCUUGUUCUGAUUUGAGGAUGCCUCCAAGGUCACAUACUCUGUUUGCACCACGCUUAGGAAGGAGCGUGAAGACCAAGGGGAGUAAUAGUCAAAGUCCUUACCUUUGUUUGGGUGGUUUGUUUAAGAGUAAUCAACGUAUUAUUUAAAAGUGUGAAAUACAGUCAAAGAUGGCCAAUGUUAUUCCAGUGAUAUGGGAGUGACAUGAAGUAUUAUAUUGAUGAUGCAUAUAUAAAAAACAGGAUAGUUAAUGAAACACCCAAUGUUUGAGUGAUUCUGUAUACUGAUAGGGAAUAUCAAGAGUGUUACUGGGUUUUGUGAAUCACGGGCCUUGAAAGUAUUAUUAAUGAAUAAAUGACAUAAUCAAUAGACAAGGUAGAAAUGAAUAGCAAAAAAAAAGAAGAUCAAUGAUGACUACUGUUAGUGUAUGAGUUACACAUGAUGAAUACAUGUCUGAAACUCUGAGGUCCAUCACAAAAGAAAUCUGGCCCAUUCCUUCUGAUUCAGGUGAUCCUAUGAAUAUACAAUGUGUUUGCUUUUGGUCUUUGGGUUUGUUCACUUCACUGUAUUAUUAUAAUUGGAUCAAUGAAAUAAUUUAUACGUAUACAUGUACGUAUAUGAAGGGGAUGAAGUAUUGUCCAAUUAUAAAAUAAGUGGUGAGGCAAGAUGUAUUAUUAUUAUUAUAUUAAAGCAUUAUAUUAAAGCUUUAAUAUAUUAAAUAAAAAUCUAAUAUUAAUAUAUAAUUAAUGCAAUAUUUAAUAUAUAUUAAAUAUGAUAACAUAUUAAAAUAUUAUAUUAAAGCAUUGAAGUCCUAAGGGAAAUAAAUGGUACCCCACUGUAACGUCUUUGACUAAGGAUGAUACAGGUGGUAGUUAUAGAUAAUGGUCAACCUCUGGGUCAAGGAAAGUUGCACAAAGUGUUCAUUUUCUUAAGAGAAAAUGAAAUAAUUAUCCUUCAGAUAGUGAUUUCUCAAAUGUUUUCCUAAAGGGAAGAUGAUAAACACAGAUCAUGGAGGACUGUUUUAUCUGUUUGUGAUCUGCCGUCCUCUGUGAGCCUCAGGAUGGAUGUUUGCCAGCCGAUUCCAUGGUUACAAGCUCUAUAGCUGCAUCUAUGUGUUAGGAGCAUGAAGACCAAUAAUGGAUGCACUGAGCUGAUUAUGAAUUUAGCCCUGAUGAAGACUUGUGUUGCUGUCAUGAUAUGAAAGAUUCCAGUAAUGAACGCACUUGAGUUGAUUCAAGCACGCUUCCAUGGUCAUGAGCUCUGUGGUUGCAUCUGUGUGUUAGGAGCAUGCAGACCAAUAGUGAUAAUCUCGAGGUGAUUUAUGCAUUCUUCCAUGGCCACCAGCCUUAUGAUUGCAUCUGUGCGUCACAGCUUAGAGAUCAAUAAUGGAUGCAACAAGCUCUUUGAAUCAUUCUGUUGGGAUCAAGAUUGUUGUGUUCCCUCUGUUUGGAAAGAGACCAAGAAUGGAUACGCUCAGGUGAUUUAAGCAGUCUUCCAUGGCCACGAGCUCUGUGGUUGCCUCUGUAUAUUAAGAGCACAGAGAUUAAAAAUGGGUGCACUUGAGCCGAUUGAAACAUUCCUCCUUGCAUCUUUCUUCUGUGAUUGCAUCUAUUUGUUAGUAGCAUAGAGACCAAUAAUAGAUGGCUUGUGCUGAUGGAAGGAUUCCUCCCUGGUGACAUGCUGUGUCUGCCUCUUGAUUGGGAGCACGCAGACCUACAAUGAUGCACUUUUUAUGAUUUGAGAAUUCCUUCAUGGUCACGUGCUCUGUUUUUAUCAUGGUUGGGAGCCUGCAGAGCAAUAAGGGACAUGCCUUUGCUGAUUUGAGGAUUCCUCUGAGGUUGGGAGCUAAGUUUGCAUCAUGCUUAGAAAGGAGUGUGCAGACCUGUAAUGAUUGCACUUUGCUGAUUGAAGGAUUCCUUCAAGUCCAUGUGCUCCACUUGCACCAUUUUUAGGAUGGAGCCUGGAGACCUAUAAUGAACAACUUGUGCUGUGUUAAGGAUUCCUCCAUGAUCACGCGCCCCAUUUGUACACCAUGCUUGGGAAGGUGCAUGCAGACCAAUAAUGGACGUACUUGUGAUGAUUUAAAGAUGCCUCCAAGGUCACGUGCUCUGUUUGCACCAUGCUUAGGAAGGAGCGUACAGACCAAAAAUGGAUGAAUUGUGCACCUUGAAAAGUUCUUCCAUGGUCACCUGAGGCAUCUGCGUCAUGAUUAGGCUCCGGAUGACUAAUAAUGGAAGCACAGAAGCUGGUUUUAAUAGUUAAGAGCUGUAUGGUCCAUCUCUGUGCUAGAAGCUGGAGACCAAUAACAGUCACUCCCUGCACUGAUUCUGCCAUGACCACUUGCUCUAUGGUUGUUUUAAGGAACCUACAGACAAAUGUGAGUAAUCGUCAAAGUUCUUGUCUUGGUUUGGGCCAUUUAAGAGUGGUCAAUGCAUUAUUAAUAAGUAGAAAAUAUAAUUAAAGAAGACUAACCGUGUCCCCAAAAUGAACAUGGGGUUGAUAUGAAACAUUUUGUUGAGUAAUGCAUGUUUGAAACAAUCAGGUCAGUUCAAGAAACAUGUCUAAUUUCUGUAGGAACUGCUCUACAGAUAGACAACAGGGUUAUCACAGCUCUUGUCCUAUUUUUUUUCUGAUUCAUGUCUAUUUCUUUAUUAUAAAGUAGUAAAUUAAUAAAUAAAUGAAAUAGACAAAGUCUAAAUGAAAAAAAUGAUUGAUGGUCUGUGGCCUGGCCCAGAGAUGAUGACUCGUGGGUAUGAGUCAAGGAUGAUGAGUAAUAGGAGUCAGGAAGUUUAAGCUCCGAUAUAAAAGAAAUCUAGCCUAUUGAUCAGUUGGAAAUGAUCCUGUAGACAGUAGUUAAAAAUAUUCAGUUAUCGGCUGGGCACGGUGGCUCACACCUUUAAUCCCAGCACUUUGGGAGGCCGAGGUGGGCAGAUCACAAAGUUAGGAGUUUAAGACCAGCCUGACCAACACAGUGAAACCCCGUCUCUACUAAAAAUAUACAAAUUAGCCGGGUGUGGUGGCGAGUGCCUGUAAUCCCAGCUACUUGGGAGGCUGAGGCAGGAGAAUUGCUUAAACCCAGGAAGUUGAGGUUGCAGUGAGUCGAGAUCGCGCCACUGAAUUCCAGCCUGGGCAACAGAGUGAGACCCUGUCUCGAAAAAAAAAAAACAAAAAAAACCCCCAAAAAAUCAGUUACCCUAUUCUUGUGCUCUUGUAAUUCACGGAUAAUGAAUUAAUGCGUGAAGAACUCAAGUAAAAGAAAUAAGUGAAUAAAAACAUGGCCACACCUGGACCAACUAUAACAUGUGUAAUGAAGCAAGUCACAGUACUGAUCUAUUGCUCAGGGAGUGGGAAUUGUGUCAGAUUUUUAAUCUCUCAGAAUGAGAAACAUGUAGACAAAUGUAUGAGCUGUCCAUGUUUAUAUUGAGUUGUCUUUGGUUUCCUGGUUGUCUUAUCCUUAACUAGGGAUGUUGUUUAUAUAAAUAGAAAGCUAUUUUUAAAGAGGGCCAGUGACAAUAAUUUGUUCUAUAACAAGAGCUAUUGUGCUCACUAAAUUCCAUUACAAAGUGACAUCAUCUGUUAUUACUUUGGUAAUGAUCAACUAUGCAUGUGCUACGAUGAUCCAUGCUGUAGUUUAGAUCAUGUGUAAGGAUACUGAUUUUAUCUUAAUAAUGAACAAAUGCUUAAGUUAAUAAUAAUCAAUUAGCUAAAAAGGAUAAAGCAAGGGCCAGUAGCAAACAUGUCUGGAAAUGAUGGUUGUGAUGUAACUGGGUCCGGAGAGUGUAUUCUUCUUAAGGCAAGUAUUUUGGCUCUUACAAGUGUUUGCAUAAUUAGGCUAUACAUAGACGCACAGUAUCAGACACAUUCUGGGUUUCUGAGGGUUUACAUAUGUUCUGUUUCUUUACAAAGAAUGAAUAAUUCGCCAAAUUGGUUUGUGAAUGAGUGAAUGAAGUGAUAGCAAGCACUGUUCAUUGGUAUGAAAUUGCUCUGAAACAAGUAUUUAGAUGAAUCUAAUUGUGCAUAUGGGAGGUCCAAAGAUUUAGGUUGUUGAGUGCAUGGGUGGAGGCAUUGAAGCUGACGUGUUUUGUAGAGAACUCUCAUUCUUGAUUCAGAUGUUGGAUUCAAAGGCGUCCAUUUAUUUUAUUUAAGUUCUGGGGUACAUGUGCAGGAUGUGCAUGUUUGUUACAUCGGUAAACAUGUGUCAUGGUGGUUUGCUGCACCUAUCAACUCAUCACCUAGGUAUUAAGCCUGGCAUGCAUUAGCAGUUUUUCCUGAUGCUCUCCCCACCCUCCCCUGACAGGCGCCAGUGUGUGUUGUUCCCCUCCUGUGUCCAUGUGUUCUCAUUGUUCAGCUCCCACUUAUAAGUGAGAACAUGCAGUGUUUUGUUUUCUGUUCCUGCAUUAGUUUGCUGAGGAUAAUGGCUUCCAGCUUCAUCCAUGUCCCUGCAAAGCACAUGCUCUCAUCCCUUUAAUGGCUGCAUAGUAUUCCAUAGUGUAUAUGUAUCACAUUUUCCUUAUCCAGUAUUUGGGUUGAUUCCAUGUCUUUGCUAUUGCGAAUAGUGCUGCAAUGAACAUACAUGUGCAUGUAUCUUUAUAAUAGAAUGAUUUCUAUUCCUUUGGGUUAUAUACCCAGUAAUGGAAUUGCUGGGUCAAAUGGUAUUUCUGCUUCUAAAUCUUUGAGGAAUCACUACACUGUCUUCCAUAAUGGUUGAACUAAUUUAUAUUCCCACCAACAGUGUAAAAUCAUUCUUAUUUCUCUUUAACUUCAUCGGCAUCUGUUUUUUCUUGACUUUUUAAUAAUCACCAUUCUGACUGGUAGGAGAUGGUGUCUCACUGUGGUUUUGAUUUGUAUUUCUCUGAUGAUCAGUGAUGUUGAGCCUUUUUUCUUGUUUGUUGGCUGCAUGUAUGUCUUCUUUUGAGAAGUGUUUGUUCAUGUCCUUUGCCCAUUUUUUAAUGGGGUUGUUGGUUUUUUUCUUGUGAAUUUGCUUAAGUUCCUUGUAGAUUCUGGAUAUUAGACCUUUGUCAGAUGGAUAGAUUGCAAAAAUUUUCUCCCAUUCUGUAGGUUGUCUCUUCACUCUGAUGAUAGUUUCUUUUGCUGUGCAGAAACUCAUUAGUUUAAUUAGAUUCCACAUGUCAAUUUUUGCUUUUGUUGCAAUUGCAAAGGCAUCCAUUUUAAAUGCAAAAUUAAUAAUUGAAUUAAUGUGACAAAAAAGAGGGUUUUCUGGCCAGUUGUAAAAAGAGCAUGACCCAAUUAUAAAAAUUAAUCUAAACUUGCUCUCCUUUCAUUUAUUAGAAUAUUAGAGCACAGUCAAAAUUUAGGAUGUUUCAUUCUUUUUACCAUUUGCAUUCUACCCUCCAGAAUGGAUUAUCAUUGGUGAAGAUCUUAGCUGGUAAGUCUCUGGGAAAAAGGCUAUAGACCUAUACAAAUAAUGCCCAAAGUUCUUGUCCUUUGGUGGGGUGUUUACUCAGAGGUAUUCAUUGUAUUAUAAAAUAAUGCAUAAAUGACUACAUCUAUAUACAGAAUUAAAAAAGAACAGGGAUGAGAGUGUGUUACACACCAAUAAUUAGAAUGAGUCCAAUCAGAACAUCUGUGGAAUUAUAUAUUUUUAAUAUCCCAAAACACUGAGUUUUAUGAAUAAAUUAAUAAAUCAGGAAUGUUCCUUCUUUUGGUAAGUAUCAUAUAGACAAAGAAUAGUAAUAGUCAACGUUUUUGUUCUGGGAGAAUGGUGAGUUCAAGUUUGUCUUGUUAAGAGAAACAAAUAAAUAAUUUCACAAAUUUAUCAAUACCUAAUUAUAAAUAGCUAAGCAAAUUAACGGGGGAAACAUGGAUCAAUUGAAAGAAUUUUUGAUAUUUUCACUCCCUUUUUGUAAGGAAUAUUCCUGCAUAUUUUGUGUAUACAUUUUUAAAGGUAUAAAAGAAUACAUGUUUAUUUUUCCUUUUUUUCACCAUCUGCUUUCAGUUCCAUAGAAGGAACACACUUAUCACUACAGUGAUUCUGUAAUGAUGAAGACCUUUAUGGGUCAGUGUGAGUAAUGAUCCAAGUUCUUGUCAUUGUUGGGAUGGUCCAUUUAGGGUAUUUAGUGUAUGAUAAAAUAAUACGUAAUAUAAUCAAUGAAGGCUACAGAAAAACCAAUGAUAAGAUUGUAUUAUAAAUCAAGGUUCAUGAUGACUACUGUUUUGCACAACAGAAGCCCUUUUUAAAAGAAGAGCUCUACAUUUUUAGCUCUGUGGGUAUGGAAUAUGGAGUCAGAUGUAUGUAACUCUCAUAGGUUUUAUGUUGGGUGGUUCAUUUAAGGGUAUUCCUGAUAUUGUUAAAAUGGAUAAUAUGUUAAUUAAUAAGAUGGAGCUCCAUUCACGAACCAGAGAUAACAAUGUGGCAUAAAUCAUUGUUUGUGUUCAAUUUCUACGAUGGUUACUUCACGUUUACUAAGUCGAAACCUAAAUCUAGGUCUUUUCAGUUGGUAAUUUCCUCUUUCAUUUGGUAAUAUCAUCUACAGGAUGGGUAGACCAGAGCUGAUUAAAUUAUUCUCCCAUUGAUGAGGAACUUUACCUUAUCCCUCAGAGUAAGGAGAAUGUCAUAUAAUGUAAGUAAUAAAGUUCUUGAGUUGGGUUGUUGGUUCAUGAUUUCUACUGUCAUUUAAAAAGAUAAUUAAAUUUUAAAAGGUCAUACUAGGCCUAUGAUGAGAAUGUGUUGUGGACCGAAAUUAAUCCAAUUUAGCACAAAUGAAGUGUAAGAAAAAAUUUAGCUUUCCCAUUCAUUUUCAAUAGUUAAAUGUCACAUUGUAUGUUUGUCUCAUUGAUUAUUUAAAGACUCUUCUCUUGAUAAAGGCUGUUACUCAUUUAUGGAGUCAGUAUUCUAGUUGUUGAGUAGGAUGGUGGUUCAAGUUUGUUCAUUUGAUAUCUAAAAGUUGUUCAAAUUAAAUGUAGAGGGGCCAUGUCUGGACCAAUGAUGUGAAUGGAAUGCAUCUGAAUAAAAAUUAUGAUCAAUCAGUUUUUGGAACAACUGAGGUCCAC